rnacentral:rRNA from 1 species
GGCUCAGAUUGAACGCUGGCGGCAUGCCUUACACAUGCAAGUCGAACGGCAGCACGGGUGCUUGCACCUGGUGGCGAGUGGCGAACGGGUGAGUAAUACAUCGGAACAUGUCCUGUAGUGGGGGAUAGCCCGGCGAAAGCCGGAUUAAUACCGCAUACGAUCCAUGGAUGAAAGCGGGGGACCUUCGGGCCUCGCGCUAUAGGGUUGGCCGAUGGCUGAUUAGCUAGUUGGUGGGGUAAAGGCCUACCAAGGCGACGAUCAGUAGCUGGUCUGAGAGGACGACCAGCCACACUGGGACUGAGACACGGCCCAGACUCCUACGGGAGGCAGCAGUGGGGAAUUUUGGACAAUGGGCGAAAGCCUGAUCCAGCAAUGCCGCGUGUGUGAAGAAGGCCUUCGGGUUGUAAAGCACUUUUGUCCGGAAAGAAAUCCUUGGCUCUAAUACAGUCGGGGGAUGACGGUAC